GCAACAGAAAACCAGGAAAAAGGUUUAAGGGUUCGCGGAUGUGCUGUGUAGUUUUGAGCUCAAACAGAUUGCAUCAGCAGAGAGAUGUUGCAAUUUGUUUGUCACCAAUAAGUUCUGCAUUGUGAGACUGACUGUAGUGUGACUGUAUAGUUGUGUGGCCAGGGGUUGUUGCUGCUCUGUGAUGGUUAGGUUACUUUUCUGGCCAAUCACACGCUGAACUGUGAUGCAGUUGUCUGCAGCCUGUCCUCCCCAGUCACCAGCUGUGGCAAAGACUAAAGUUCUGGUUGAGGUGUCCCCUACUAGCUGCAACCUUCGCCAACUGGGACAACAUCCUGGGUCCUCGUGUACGACACAUCUGGGCCCCCAGAUGUGGGUGAAUCCUCAAAGGCCAGGGGUUGUUGCUGCUCUGUGACGGUUAGGUUACUUAUCUGGCCAAUCACACGCUGAACGGUGAGAUUCUGCAGAGCGUGGAGAGUGGCGCAGUGGAUGUGAAGUUCUACGUCUUGGCAGAAAAGGGAGUCACCUUCGUCUCGUUGAUCUUCGACGGGGAGCUCAAGGGUGACUAGACCACUUGUGCGCUGUCAAUCAUUCGGCCAAGUCAGAGCUAAGCUUCUAUCUGCAUCUGACAGCGUGUGUGUCGAGACUGAAACACAUCAUCAUCUUCAUGCAGAAGGGCAAUCGGCUCUCAUCUUCAGACUUGUGGCUGUUCUAUGGUGGUUGGCAGCAAUCCCAAGAAAGUCAAUAAUGUGCACAUUCCUAUUUGGACAUUCACUUCAUUCACAUCGAUGUACAAUCGUGCUCAUGCUGAGUCUCUUCCUCACUCCUGUGGAGAGAAAGUGCUCUUGAUUGUGUCACCCUGACAGCUCAUUUAAAUUUGACACAGGUCUCUUUGUUCAGGGCCUCAUCAAGGUAUCUUCAACAUCCCUCUGUGGGAAACUUAUGCAACUACUGCUCAUUUGCAAAGAAUGUUCUGCCUGGUAAUAAAAUAUUUGGUUCAUAAUCAUCAAGUGCCCCUGGUUGAAUGUGGCUACAGGUGAUUGUCUUUGCAGGAUGGGAGAUUUACAAAGUUCCCAUUCUUCUUAUUCCCAGGACUCCGCAGGGAGCUUCGUGUUGCUCUACUCCCCGUGUCCCACCACACCGAUGUGGACAUUAACACGGUGAAGCAGAUGCCCCCCUGCCACGAGCACACAUAUCUGUUUUUUUUAUGUAAGGGAUAAUGUACAGUCAGGCAGUCAUUAUUGCAAAAUAAACCCUGAUGUGAAGUUGAGGGCUUUUGCAUCACCCUGAAAGGGUUUAUUUUGCGAUAAUAACUAUCCGACUGUACGUUAUCCCACUUAUUACACAGCUACUUGCCAAAUAAAAAAAUAAACGGAAAAGCCAUAUUGAUUUGAGUUAAAACUAGACCUGCAUUUUUAGGUGAAAAUAGCUGUGCAUGGAAGGAAAAAGGACGUCUUUUUUCAGCUGAGCGUUUCAGGCUGAAUUAAUUCCAGAAGUUUCAUACUUAGGGUUAGGAUUUAGAAAAAACCCUACCCAGAAUGUCUGAGCAAUUUUCAAUACUGUGCUGCCUUUUGAUUAGAAGAAAGAGACAUGAAAUGAAAGACAUG